AUACGUAGGGGGCGAGCGUUGUCCGGAUUUAUUGGGCGUAAAGGGUGCGUAGGCGGCCUUGUAAGUCAGAUGUGAAAGAUCAUGGCUUAACUGUGGUAAGCAUUUGAAACUGCAGGGCUUGAGUACAGGAGAGGAGAGUGGAAUUCCUAGUGUAGCGGUGAAAUGCGUAGAUAUUAGGAGGAAUACCAGUGGCGAAGGCGACUCUCUGGACUGAUACUGACGCUGAGGCACGAAAGCGUGGGGAGCAAACAGGAUUAGAUACCCUGGUAGUCCACGCUAUAAACGAUGAGUGCUAGGUGUCGGGGGUCAAACCUCGGUGCCGCAGUUAACACAUUAAGCACUCCGCCUGGGGAGUACGGCCUCAAGGCUGAAACUCAAAUGAAUUGACGGGG
rnacentral:rRNA from 1 species